CCAGACUCCUACGGGAGGCAGCAGUGGGGAAUAUUGCACAAUGGGCGAAAGCCUGAUGCAGCAACGCCGCGUGAAGGAAGAAGGGUUUCGGCUCGUAAACUUCUAUCAACAGGGACGAAAGAAAUGACGGUACCUGAAUAAGAAGCCCCGGCUAACUACGUGCCAGCAGCCGCGGUAAUACGUAGGGGGCAAGCGUUAUCCGGAUUUACUGGGUGUAAAGGGAGCGUAGACGGCUGUGCAAGUCUGGAGUGAAAGGCAUGGGCUCAACCUGUGGACUGCUUUGGAAACUGUGCAGCUUGAGUGUCGGAGAGGCAAGUGGAAUUCCUAGUGUAGCGGUGAAAUGCGUAGAUAUUAGGAGGAACACCAGUGGCGAAGGCGGCUUGCUGGACGAUGACUGACGUUGAGGCUCGAAAGCGUGGGGAGCAAACAGGAUUAGAUACCCCAGUA
rnacentral:rRNA from 1 species